rnacentral:rRNA from 1 species
AUUGAACGCUGGCGGCAUGCUUUAUACAUGCAAGUCGGGCGGCAGGACAGGGAGGUUUGCUUCAUGGGUGGAGAGUGGCGCAUGGGUGGGUACUACAUAGGAACGUACCGAGAUAUGGGGGGUAACUACUGGAAAGAUUGGUUCAUCCCGCAUAUUCUCUGAGGCGGCUAGAAGGGGAGUUGACGGCCUUGAGUUCUUCGCGGGUGCGGUAUGUGUUUAGCUAGUUGGUGGGGUAAAUGACUACCAAGGCGACGAUCAGUAGCGGGUGGUAGAGGAUGAUCCGCCACACUGGGACUGUGACACGGCCCAGACUCCUACGGGAGGGACCAGUGUGGAAGGUUGGGCAAUGGGCGCAAGCCUGAUCCAGCCAUGCCGCGUUUCGGAUGAAGGCCUUCGGAUUGUAAAGGACUUUUGUCAUGGAAGAAAAAACUGUUCCUAAUAUCGACAGCUGGUGACGGUACCUGAUGAAGAAGCACCGGCUAACUACGUG